AACCAGCACCUCAAGUGGUCAGGAUGAUUAUUGGGCCUAAAGCAUCCGUAGCCGGCUCUGUAAGUUUUCGGUUAAAUCUGUACGCUCAACGUACAGGCUGCCGGGAAUACUGCAGAGCUAGGGAGUGGGAGAGGUAGACGGUACUCGGUAGGAAGGGGUAAAAUCCUUUGAUCUAUCGAUGACCACCUGUGGCGAAGGCGGUCUACCAGAACACGUUCGACGGUGAGGGAUGAAAGCUGGGGGAGCAAACCGG
rnacentral:rRNA from 1 species